rnacentral:rRNA from 1 species
AACCUCGGGAAACUGAGAAUAAUACCCCAUAGACCUCGAAAGCUGGAAUGCUUCAAGGUCGAAAACUCCGGUGCCCAAGGAUUGGUCUGCGGCGUAUCAGGUCGUAGUGGGUGUAACGUACCCCCUAGCCUAUGACGCGUAAGGGCCUUGAGAGAGGGAGCCCUGAGAUGGACUCUGAGACAUGAGUCCAGGCCCUACGGGGCGCAGCAGUCGCGAAAACUUCACAAUGGGGGAAACCCCGAUGAGGGAAUUCCAAGUGCCAGCACAUUGUGUUGGCUGUUCUCUGGUCUAAAAAACCGGAGAAGUAAGGGCCGGGUAAGACGGGUGCCAGCCGCCGCGGUAAUACCCGCGGCCCGAGUGGUGGUCGAUAUUAUUGAGCCUAAAACGUCCGUAGCCGGUCUUGUAAAUCCUUGGGUAAAUCGACCAGCUUAACUGUUCGAAGUCCGGGGAGACUGCAAGACUUGGGAUCGGGAGAGGUCAGAGGUACUUCUGGGGUAGGGGUAAAAUCCUGUAAUCCUAGAAGGACCACCGGUGGCGAAGGCGUCUGACUAGAACGAAUCCGACGGUGAGGGACGAAGCCCUGGGGCGCAAACGGGAUUAGAUACCCCGUAGUCCAGGGUGUAAACGCUGCGGGCUUGGUGUUGGGGGUCCUUUGAGGGCGCCCAGUGCCGGAGAGAAGUUGUUAAGCCUGCUGCUUGGGGAGUACGUCCGCAAGGAUGAAACUUAA